AUUGAACGCUGGCGGCAUGCUUUACACAUGCAAGUCGAACGGUAACAGGCCGCAAGGUGCUGACGAGUGGCGAACGGGUGAGUAAUGCAUCGGAACGUGCCCAGUCGUAGGGGAUAACGCAGCGAAAGCUGCGCUAAUACCGCAUACGAUCUAUGGAUGAAAGCGGGGGACCGUAAGGCCUCGCGCGAUUGGAGCGGCCGAUGUCAGAUUAGGUAGUUGGUGGGGCAAAGGCUCACCAAGCCAACGAUCUGUAGCUGGUCUGAGAGGACGACCAGCCACACUGGGACUGAGACACGGCCCAGACUCCUACGGGAGGCAGCAGUGGGGAAUUUUGGACAAUGGGCGCAAGCCUGAUCCAGCAAUGCCGCGUGCAGGAAGAAGGCCUUCGGGUUGUAAACUGCUUUUGUACGGAACGAAACGGUCCUGGUUAAUACCCGGGGCUAAUGACGGUACCGUAAGAAUAAGCACCGGCUAACUACGUGCCAGCCGCCGCAGUAAUAC
rnacentral:rRNA from 1 species